rnacentral:rRNA from 1 species
UUGCACGCUGGCGGCAUGCCUUACACAUGCACGUCGAACGGCAGCACGGGUGCUUGCACCUGGUGGCGAGUGGCGAACGGGUGAGUAAUACAUCGGAACAUGUCCUGUAGUGGGGGAUAGCCCGGCGAAAGCCGGAUUAAUACCGCAUACGAUCUACGGAUGAAAGCGGGGGACCUUCGGGCCUCGCGCUAUAGGGUUGGCCGAUGGCUGAUUAGCUAGUUGGUGGGGUAAAGGCCUACCAAGGCGACGAUCAGUAGCUGGUCUGAGAGGACGACCAGCCACACUGGGACUGAGACACGGCCCAGACUCCUACGGGAGGCAGCAGUGGGGAAUUUUGGACAAUGGGCGAAAGCCUGAUCCAGCAAUGCCGCGUGUGUGAAGAAGGCCUUCGGGUUGUAAAGCACUUUUGUCCGGAAAGAAAUCCUUGGCCCUAAUACGGUCGGGGGAUGACGGUACCGGAAGAAUAAGCACCGGCUAACUACGUG